rnacentral:rRNA from 1 species
AUUGAACGCUGGCGGCAGGCCUAACACAUGCAAGUCGAACGAGUGGCGGACGGGUGAGUAAUGUCUGGGAAACUGCCUGAUGGAGGGGGAUAACUACUGGAAACGGUAGCUAAUACCGCAUACCAUCAGAUGUGCCCAGAUGGGAUUAGCUAGUUGGUGGGGUAACGGCUCACCAAGGCGAAGCUCCCUAGCUGGUCUGAGAGGAUGACCAGCCACACUGGAACGGAGACACGGUCCAGACUCCUACGGGAGGAAGCAGUGGGGAAUAUGGCACAAUGGGCGCAAGCCUGAUGCAGCCAUGCCGCGUGUAUGAAGAAGGCGUGCGGGUUGUAAAGUACUGUCAGCGGGGAGGCGUUACCCGCAGAAGAAGCACAGGCUAAAUCCGUGCCAGAAGCCGCGGUAAUAC